UUCAACGCUGUCCCCUGGAAAGGGAAGAACUUUGCCUCCCUUAUGAGCAACUAAGUUUGUGGCCCAUGGUUGCAGGCCUUCACAAUGGCCUGAGGCUUUGGGGAGGACAUACUUGGACUCUGCCUCUUGCUGUCAUCCUACCCCUUACACCUGCCACCAAGCUGGGGCAUAGGUUGAAUCUGGACUUUACACCCCAAGCACUCAGAUGGCUGGCGCACUAGCCCAUACACUGGAUUGCCCUACUGAUUAUAGCAUGCCAUCCUGCAUCUACAUUCUUACACCUGGC